rnacentral:rRNA from 1 species
AGUGAACGCUGGCGGUAGGCCUAACACAUGCAAGUCGAACGGCAGCACAGUAAGAGCUUGCUCUUACGGGUGGUGAGUGGCGGACGGGUGAGGAAUACAUCGGAAUCUACUUUUUCGUGGGGGAUAACGUAGGGAAACUUACGCUAAUACCGCAUACGACCUACGGGUGAAAGCAGGGGAUCUUCGGACCUUGCGCGAUUGAAUGAGCCGAUGUCGGAUUAGCUAGUUGGCGGGGUAAAGGCCCACCGAGGCGACGAUCCGUAGCUGGUCUGAGAGGAUGAUCAGCCACACUGGAACUGAGACACGGUCCAGACUCCUACGGGAGGCAGCAGUGGGGAAUAUUGGACAAUGGGCGCAAGCCUGAUCCAGCCAUACCGCGUGGGUGAAGAAGGCCUUCGGGUUGUAAAGCCCUUUUGUUGGGAAAGAAAAGCAGCAGGUUAAUACCCCGCUGUUCUGACGGUACCCAAAGAAUAAGCACCGGCUAACUUCGUG